GCUGGCUGGUCCUGGGCCACCCCUCCCCUUGGGUGGUGGUGCGGGGGGAAGGCAGGGGCUUGCCCAUCACCCGCUCAGGCCCUAACCUACACCACUCUGUCUCCCACAGGCAUCCAUGACCUCGCACAAGCCCCGGCACGCCAGCCACAGCCCGCCCACGUCAGGAGAGCUCUGCGGGCUCUGCGCAGGGCUUUGUGCUGCAGCUUCAUCCCAGAAGAGUGGGAGUAGCAGCAAUGUAUCAGCAAUGUAGCCCGGUGGUCGUGGGCAGGGGUCUUUCAGGAUGAAGGCAACGAGGAAGAGGAGAGCUGCCACCCCACAGAACGCACUUGUGGACCUGAAAUCGAAGUCUCUGCAGAUGGCAGCAGUGCCUAUGAAGCAGCAGCAUGUCCUCAUCCCUCACCCCCCAGAGGAGAACACUGAGGCAGAUCCUGUGAGGAAAUCAAUGCCAAGCAAGUGUGGGCGAGCUCCCACAAAGGCAAUGGGAAAGAUGAGCUGCAGCAGGCUGGGCUCUCACUGGCACCCUUCUCCCUGAAGGGAGCAGGGAGCGUCACUCAGCUCUCCUCACUGGAGCGGAAUCUUGAACCUUUCCAGAGAAUCACAGAAUGGCUUGGGUUGCAAUUGAGUUAAAGAUCUUCUAUUCCCUCCCGCCCCCUGCCAUGAGCAGGGAUGCCAUUCACUAGAGCAAGUAGCCCAGUGCCUCAUCCAAACAGGUCUUGAAGACCUCCAGGGAUGGGGCAUCCACGGCUUCUCUGGGCAAGCUGUUCCAGUGCCUCACCACCCUCUGUGUGAAGAAAUUUUGUGGCCACCAAGGAGCAGCUCUGACUAGCCUUCUCUUUUCCUCCUUACAGGGAUGCCUCCUGCUAUUAAGAGCCGGCUGCUCACACCCCAGAGUCGCUCUCCAGCCAGACUCUCCAGGGCGACAGGGAAGGCACAGCUGGGCCAGGCUGCUGGGGAAAAAGAGCCUUCUCCCAAAUGAGGCUGGGGGAAAGCCAUAGAAGGCAGCCCCAGAGCUCUUCCCCUUGAGUCAUCGAGAAGCUUUCCUUGCACGCAGGGACUUGGUGAACUCCACAAUGGGCCUGACACAUGUCCCACUGACGGCAGGUUCCUGCCUGGGCACCCAGCAGGAUUGGGCUCUACAUACCUCGGGGAAGAGCUGCAGGGAGAAGAGCCUCUCCAAGCACCCAAGGGUUUUGCUUUGGAGAAGAAGGGAGACGCAAGUGUGGAGGGAGAGUCUACCAGAACAGGUGUAUCCCGUUUUCUUUUCCUGAAUUAUGCCUGUCUGUUCUUGGACACCGGCAUUCCUCGGGACACGGUGCAGCGCCGCAUUCAAGAGACCCUGCUCUUUCUCUCUUGCACCCUUAGAAAGAAGCAGGCUGUUGAUUUCGUCUUCAAGGACAUUGGCCAUCUGGUGUUCCACAAGGGCUGAGUCCAAAUGCAGUUUUCCACCGACUGCGUUCCUCAGCACACCAUGGCAGAGCAGCAGGAUCAUGACUUCAGCUUUAAGGCCACUGGCUGUGUGGUUCUCUGGAAACCUGUCUCAGUAGGCGAGGGAUGAUGCGUUCAGCCACAUCUGGCCCUCUCACAGAUGAGCUCUGGUAGCAUAGUUAUCUUUCCCAAGCUGAGUGAGAAGACUUGCAUAUGGAACGAAUGUGAAAGGUGCUGGCAUGUACAAGCUAAAUAUUACUGAAUAAAGACAGUGGUAACCAGCCUCAGCCGUGCUGCAUAUGAGCUGUGAGAAACGGGAAGAGAAGAGCUGGCAGCUGUCUCCUCUGUUCUUUCCCAUUUCUGGCUGGGAGCACGAGAAGCCCAUCGGGACAGUGUUUGCAGGGGCCAUGACAAUUUUGCUGGGCUAGGGGAAGCCUCCGCUCCUACGGGUGGAGAAGGGACAGAGAGAGAUGGAGGCCAGGAGUGCUGCCAUCCUGUGCAGCAGCCACCUCAUGUUCCCAACUCUCAUGCACCUCCCAGAUGAUGGGAUUGUGAAAGUUUGGGAUGCAGUAUCCCACUACAUCCCAGCAACGCCUAGCACCUUCUGGCCGGUAGCGGCUCCUGGAAACGUCCCUCUCCGUGCUGUUGGCACCCUGAUGGCUGCGUUGGUGGUUGACUUCUCCUCUUGGCAGCUGGCGCAGCUGCAGGUGUACCUCCAGCUGCUGUCCUGAAUUAUGCCUGGCUGUUCUUGCACACCAGCAUUCCUAGGGACACCAUGCAGUGCUGCAUUCAGGAGACCUGCUCUUUCUCUCCUACACCCGUGCAAAGAAGCAGGGUGUGGACUUCAUCUUCAAGGACAUUGGCCGUCUGGUCUUCCGCAAGAGCAGAGUCCAAAGGCAAUUUUCCACAGACUUUGUUCACAGCCUAAGUAACAACGUCCAGCUGCUGAAAUCUCAGAUGAAUGACCAAGUGACAGGACCAAGAGAAGAGCUGUGGGCAUCCCUGGGAAGACUGCAGAGGAUCUUCUGAUCUCCUGCGUUUUGGAAGGAGGCUGUGCUCCGGGCUCUUGGGACAGGCAGAGGUGGCGAUCUUCAGAGCCCACCCGAGAGGUUUCUUCUCCGUUGCUGCAGCUGCCUUUAGUGCGGAGUGUGCGGGCAUCCAUGACCUCACACAAGCCCCGGCACACCAGCCACGGCCCGCCCACAUCAGGAGACAGGCGCUUCGGGCUCUGCGCAGUGCUUUGUGCUGCAGCUUCAUCGCAGAAGAGUGGGAGUAGCAGCGCCCAGCUGCCAGCACCAGGAGGGCGCUCGGAGCUGUACGCUGACAUCACUGAUAGGAACAGGACAGUGCCCCAGGAAUUCAGAUGCCCCACCACACCC